UCCCCAGUAGCUCAGAUGGUAAAGAAUCUGCCUGCAAUGCGGGAGACCCGGGUUCGAUCCCUGGGUCGGGAA
rnacentral:tRNA from 1 species